AAGGUAUAGCUGUAUACGUGAUCUUUUCAUUUUCUGCCCUUUCUAUCUCUUUCUUAUCUAGGAGUAAGCUAUGCUUUUAUUUUGAGAAUCUACUCUAGUUUUAAAGUUCUUUGAUACACACUUCAACUUUGAAUCAUAUACCUCUAGUUUCUGUACUGUUUUCCUGAAGCCAAUCAUGAAUAAAUGGACAGUUUGUUUGAAAUGCUGACAGGAAGGACAUCCUUUAGUUCUCGACAAUUAUCCUUAACUGUUUACAGUGUGGACAUGGAUGGUUUUCCUGAUUGGACCUAAUAGACUGACCUUUGGACAUUUAUGACUCAGAAUGUCAUUCAGGUCCAUAAUUGAAAGAUUUUUUUUGGGGACUGCUAAUAAGGUCGAGGUAAGAUUGGGUUGUGGAAAUUCUGGUAUCCUGCUGUUUAAGUUGAGAGGAUUUUUAUUGUUAUUGAAAGCUCAGCUCUAAAAUAAAUUUUGUGUUAUGAGUCUUGAGUAGUAGAUAUUUGUAGAAUGUGGUCUAAUUUGCAUUGUUGUUGUAUUAAUUGUGUAUCUACUGUUUAAUGUAGCUAGAUAGUUUAAAGCUUUUAUGCUUUACAAGUUUAUAUUAUUCACUUGUCUAUGCAUCUAAUUCAACGUAAAGGCAGUAACAUUCCUCCUGGAGUGAAGAGUUUUAGUGAAUCAACACCCUAAAAGGUGAAGAUAUAAUAUUAAGCACUGCUUACCUGAGCUCUUUCUCUUUUGUUUUUGUUUUUGUUUUGUUUUUCCUUUCCUUCACUGAUUACCUGAGCUCUUUAGCUAUGCCUAAUGAUCUGGGUUUCGUUACGCUCUUCUUCUUGCCUUUUUAUUUCUCAUAAUAGGGGGGAUGGCUAUUGGAUUGAUGGAAUUGAAUCUGUCUAUGUUGCAAGGGAUUGCAAAUUGCUAUUAGUACAUGUUAUAAGGCAAUAUAAUGCAAAGAAUGCAGUUGGAUCAAGAAGCAAAAUCAACAUACAGCAAAGAGUGCUGCAUGUAAUAAGUUCUGCUUUUUAAUUGGUUCUGCUGUUGCUAAACUAGUUAUGACUGAUAAAGAAAGAGAGAAGGCAACCUUGACAUCCUUAUUAAAAAAAGGCAACCUUGACAUCUUUAUCUAUGUUCAGUUAUUCUGCCUUGCUGCUGGUCUUAGCUGUCAUUUAUUACAUCCACAGAUGUGAUAACUGCAAGGAUAAAUGUGAUGACGUGUAUUUUGCUAAAACAAUUUUCAUACCCAGCCUUGCAAAGUUAAUAGGCAGGCAUAAUUAUGAAUGUACACGGUAAUAAGAAACAUUUGACAAGAUUUUGCUUCGGUCCUUCUGUAGAGUAAAAUGAGGAUAGUACAUAGCUAUUUGCUUCCAACCUCUUGUGGAUUUUUCAGGCUUCUUUUUGUAUCUGUUUCUGACUAUUUAAGCUGACAAGUUGACAAUUUGGGUCAUCUACUUGAGAAGUGGAAACUUUUCCUUUCACAAUUCUACUUUUGCCGUAAGGCUUCAUGUAAUUUGGUGAUUAGCUUUGUAACUGCCACAGGUUAUUUGACAUUCUUCUCCACAGGCUUAUUUGAAGGAAGUUACUCCUAUAUUUCAACUUAUUAAUUUUGAUGAUCAAUUGGGUGCCUCGUUUAUCUACUGUUCACCAGUUUUGAUUCUCAUUUGUUUGGACAGAAUUCAGGUAGAGGUAUGCUAUAAAGCAAUAACAUGUAUAUUUAGUACAUAUGUCUACAUGGAGGUCAGUCUGUUGUUCCUUUAGUUAUAGAUUACGGAGGAAAAAGGGCAAUAAUUUGCAGUCACUUUUUCCUUUAUUUUAUGAAAUCUGGGGAACAUGAAAGGAGUCUUUGCUCUCUCCUUCAGUGUUUAUCCCAUGUCUAAUUUUUGUUCUUUAUUCUCAGGCGU
rnacentral:lncRNA from 1 species